UGCAUGUCUAAGUAUAAAUGUUAUACAGUGAAACUGCGAAUGGCUCAUUAAAACAGUUAUAGUUUAUUUGAUAAUCGAAUUUACAUGGAUAACCGUGGUAAUUCUAGAGCUAAUACAUGCUGUUAAGCCUGACUUUUAGGAAGGGCUGUAUUUAUUAGAUAACAAACCAAUAUUCCUUGUGUCUAUUGUGACGACUCAUAAUAACUGAUCGAAUCGCAUGGACUUUGUCCGCGAUACAUCAUUCAAGUUUCUGCCCCAUCAGCUUUCGAUGGUAGUGUAUUGGACUACCAUGGCUUUCACGGGUAACGGAGGAUUAGGGUUCGAUUCCGGAGAGGGAGCCUGAGAAACGGCUACCACAUCUAAGGAAGGCAGCAGGCGCGUAAAUUACCCAAUCCUGACUCAGGGAGGUAGUGACAAGAAAUAACGGACCGAAGCCUAUGUUUCGGGAUUGCAAUGAGUAGAAUUUAAACCCCUUUACGAGGAUCAAUUGGAGGGCAAGUCUGGU
rnacentral:rRNA from 1 species